rnacentral:lncRNA from 1 species
AAUAAAAAAACACCGACGCCAAGGGUAUUCUAAUUCUCAAGAUUGGCUCCGACUCUUCAUCUUCGACGUCUUUCGAUCUUCAUUUUCUUUCUUCUGUUCGUCGUCGCCGUCCAAAGGCCAGAGCCCUAGCCUCGUCAUCGAUCGUUGUCGCCUACCAGACAGGUGCCGCGAUCUCCUAUCAAACAAGUGUCGUGGUCUCUGCCUCUCUGCGAUCGAAAGCCCCAAUGUAGGUGUGUCUUCUCUCGUCGUCAUCGCCUGCCGAACAAGCCGACGCUGCUCUAGGUGGUGGUGUGGAGUCGAUUGCUUCGAUGGUCGCAUGACGUCGCUCACCUUUCGAUUCUCGCCGCUGCUAUAAUCCUCCUUGUCUCCGUUGACUCUAUUCGAGCCAGUAGAUCGGACAUCCUAGUGCUGCGACCCGUGAGCGGCUCUCUUUUGUUGCUGAUGGGCAAGUGACCACAUCGCCGACUAGCCAAACUAAAUACGUAUCACUGGAUUUGUUGAUGAUAAGUGAUGGGAGUCUCCCACCUAAUCUCCUCCUUAUUUUGAUUUUCUCACCUCACAGCAAUAUGGCUCCCUGUCUCUGUCUUGUCUCUUGUGUUACAUCCACCCAAUGCUCUUGCUCUUAUCUCUUACAAUGAUGUGACUAAAGAUUUUUUUUUUUUCUUGACUUGCCUGCUUUCCAU